GACAGAGGGUGCAAACGUUGUUCGGAAUUACUGGGCGUAAAGCGCGUGUAGGCGGUUAUGCAAGUCGGGUGUGAAAGCCCGGAGCUCAACUCCGGAAGUGCAUUCGAUACUGCGUAGCUAGAGUACUGGAGAGGAUGGUGGAACUCUCGGUGUAGAGGUGAAAUUCGUAGAUAUCGAGAAGAACACCGGUGGCGAAGGCGGCCAUCUGGACAGAUACUGACGCUGAGACGCGAAAGCGUGGGGAACAAACAGG
rnacentral:rRNA from 1 species